rnacentral:rRNA from 1 species
UACGGGGGGGGCAAGCGUUGUUCGGAAUUACUGGGCGUAAAGGGCUCGUAGGCGGCCAACUAAGUCAGACGUGAAAUCCCUCGGCUUAACCGGGGAACUGCAUCUGAUACUGGAUGGCUUGAGUUCGGGAGAGGGAUGCGGAAUUCCUGGUGUAGCGGUGGAAUGCGCAGAUAUCAGGAGGAACACCGGUGGCGAAGGCGGGUCUCUGGGCCGAAACUGACGCUGAGGAGCGAAAGCGUGGGGAGCAAACAGG